rnacentral:lncRNA from 1 species
UGCCCCUGGACGGGAAAAAUUCUAGAAUGCAACGGGUAUAUUAGUGACGUGGCGUAACAAACCAAUCAAAUUAAUCUUUUUAAAAAUAUAUGUCCCAUCAUGAUUGUAAAAAAAUAUUUUUAUUGUACUUUUGUUUGAAAUGAAGGAAUGUGAUUGGCUUGUUAUUGAUGACGUGGUGCAAGUGUGACAGUGUAGAAUUCCUCCCUGGACGGCUGUUGGUGAGCUGGACA